UCUAAAUGAGUAAGAAUUACAUUUGUUAUUCACUGAGGGCCUAUUUAGGCCCUGUGUUAGAGGUAGUGCAGUGUCCAAAAAAUAUUUCCACCCUCAGGUCUCCAAGAUCCACCAUUAUAAAGAGAAAAAUCACAGAAAGCUAUGAGAAAUGACCAAAGAGAAACAGAACAGUGUUUAUCUCCAUCAGGAAGCAUCUGGAACGGCUUACUAGAGAUUCCCAGCUGCAGCACUUCAGGUAAAUAACAGAACACCUCCAAACCUUAGCAACAGGAAGGAACCCCCUAUAGCUGGGGAUGGUGGCACGCACCUGUAGUCCCAGCCACUCGAGAGGCUGAGAUGGGAGACUCGCUUGAGCCCGGGAGGUCGAGGCUGCAGUGAUCACGCCACUGCACUUAGCCUGGACAGAGAUCCCGUCUCAAAAAAAAAAAAAAGAAAAGAAAAGAAAAGGAAUCCCCUAUGAUUACUUCAAGGACUGCACAUGACAAUACCUGAAAGGCAGUGGGAGCACAUAGCAAGCGUGCAAUGUCAGCCACUAUUACUAUAUAUUUAAAGCCUCUGGUGGAGAAGGCUUUAUGCGUUGGGAGCCCAAUUCAGCUCACAUUUGCUUUUACUGUGCUUCUUCCUCUCUCAAAAACUCUCCCACGUUCACCCUGACCGUGCUCACUGGCUACUGCCCCAGAAACAGGCCUUGAAUUCCAAGCCUGCCCGCCCCGCCGCAGCCAGCCUGGUCCCGGCAUGCAAGGACGCAGAGUCCCGCGAGGCUGAUACCUUCACGAUGACAGCUUUGCGUCCGGAGUAGCGUCCAGCCAGGACAAGCACCACCUUCCCAGGUUUCAUGAACUUGCCCAUUUCUGCAGAGAGCAAGGAGAAAGGGCCACUUAAAAAUCCGUAAAGCCAAAGAUGCCCAGAGCUGACUCCUGCCAGCAAGCCCAGGUCUUGGGCCGGAACUUCAGACUGUGUUCACUGUCGCCUUGGUCAAGGCCGCCCGAGGGCCCUGCUCGCAGGACAGGAUCGGAUACGUAGCCGCCAGAGACCUAGGGAAGGAAUGCACCCGGCGCCGCCCGGACCUUCGACCCCCAAGCCGCGGAUGGCAGCGGAUUGAAAGAUUCAACCCAAGCUUCUACUUACCGGCAGCAACCACCCGGCCCUACCAGCAAAAAGGAAAGAAGGACACUUCCGCUAACCUUUCACCCCGGUGAGGAGUGACCUCACUUCCUGUCCCGCCCUUCAGGCUUUGCCACGCUGAUUGUGUGGUGCUGAGUCUCGUGUUGCGGGCGGAAGAAGCUCAUGAGGGAAACGCAGGGCGCGGCAGCUCAAGUAUUCGAAUGAAACUUUAUUAGCAGCUCCAGCAGUAGACAAGAGCAAAGGAGACUCCUCCCGGCCGACGGAAGAGCUGGGAGGGCGACUGUGCUGUGCGCUCUGGACUCAGCAGCUAGGCUUUGUUGUAGUUCCUUUCUCUGGCGCUAGGAGGGGGAACACAAUCUGAAAUUUACUUUUUCUCUUGGGAGACACAGGGAAAAAAAUAGGGCAUUUAUUGGUGCCUGUCGGGGGCACUGUUAGCUAAAGAGGGAGGGACAAAGAUCAGUAAGGGUGGCUGGUCCGAUAGUAGUGGGUUAUCAGAACUUAUCAACGUUAGGGUCACUAAAGUUGGUAUACAACCCCCCACUGCUAAAUUUGGUUUUAAAAAAACAAACAAAAAGGAUAUUUACCCCCAACAGUUAAAGUCUAGUGGUGUCACUGACAUUACCAACUAGAAUAAGCAUGAGGGAGGUAGAGGAGAAGAAUGGCAGCUGCUUACCCUGUGCCAGGUCAGGUUAAUCUAUUUAUGCACAUCAUCUGAUUUGGUCAUCAUAACACUAAGAAAUAGAUACUAUUAUCUCCAUUCUAGAGUCGAGGAAACUGGCUUAGAGAGAUUUGCCCGAAGUCUAUAGUGGUUAAAUAGUGGAGCUGGGGCUCAGCCUCAAGCAGUUCAACUCCUGAACCCAUACUGUUUACCAUGUCACCAUCCUGAGCAGCGAUUCUCUCCCAGGCAAGAUGUGAGCACUUUAUACAAGCCGGCAGCCUGUUUAAUCCUCACAACUCUGCAUCUUGGGCAUUCUCCUCCCAUUUAGACAUGAGGAAAUUGCAAUUCAGAGAGGAUAAAUUGCUUGUCUGAGGUUAAUCCUAAUCAGUGGCAUAGAUGGGAUUCAAAUCUAGGUCUGAAUCUAGGUCUAGUUGGCUCUCAAACUGAAUUAUUUCCCAUCACUCACCAGAAGAGUGUUUUCACAUGGUACCUUAUGUGCUUUCCGAGUUUAAGGGAAAGAUAAACUAUCUCACAGUUUUUGCUUAUCUGAACCUAUAGGAUUUGUCUUGGGCAAGAUGUGGAACAACCAGGAUUUCAUCAGUUCUCUCCUGAAGCUCUCCAGUGAUACAAUUUUCCCUGUAUCCCUCAGGAUCCCAUUGCAAUGGCUUUUGUUUUGUUUUUUGAGACAGGGUCUCGCUCUGUCACCCAGGCUGAAUGGUGUGUAGCACAAUCAUGGCUCACUGUAGCCUCAACCUCCUGGGCUCGUGAUCCCCCCACCUCAGCCUCCUGAGUAGCUAGGACUUCAGGUAUGUGCCACCAUGCCCGUGUAAUUUGAAGAAAAAAACAAAAACAAAAUCAAAGAACUUUUUUUUGGUAGAGAUGGGGACUCACUAUAUUGCCCAGGCUGGUCUCAAAAACUUCUGGGAUUAAGUGAUCCUCCUACCUGAGCCUCCCAAAGUGUUGGGAUUACAGGCGACGCAGCACCGUGCCCGGCCCCAUUACAAUUUUUUUUUUUUUCAGACGGAGUCUCAUUUUGUCACCCAGGCUGGAGUGCAGUGGCGCGAUCUCAGCUCACUGCAACCUCCACCUCCCGGGUUCAAGCGAUUCUCCUGCCUCAGCCUCCUAAGUAGCUGGGACUAUAGGCUCCUGCCACCACACCCGGCUAAUUUUUAUAUUUUUUGUAGAGAUGGAGUUUCGCCAUGUUGGCCAGGCUGGUCUCGAACUCCCAGCCUCAAGUGAUCCGCUUGCCUCGAACUCCCAAAGUGCUGGGAUUACAGGCAUGAGCCACCACGCCUGGCCUCCAAUGGUUUUUAAAAUGUCUUUUUCUUAUAUAUUUCAUUUUUUAAAGAGAUGAGGUCUUGCUAUGUUGCCGGGCUUGAAUGCAGUGGCUAUUGACAGGUGUGAUGUAGCUUCAAACUCCUAGCCUCAAGCGAUCCUCCCAUUUCAGCUUCCCAAGUAGCUAGGACUAAGCCACCUUACCCUCCAAAUCAAAUCAGUAACUAAAUCCUCUGAAUUUUGUCUUAUGUCUUUUAUUUUUGAGAUGGAGUCUCACUUUGUUGCCCAGGCUGGAGUGCAGUGGCAUGAUCUUGGCUCACUGCAAUCUCCGCCUCCUGAGCUCAAGCAGUUCUCCUGCCUCAGCCUCCCGAGUAACUGGGACUACAGGCGCAUGCCACCACGCCUGGCUAAUUUAGUAUCUUUAGUAGAGAUGGGGUUUCACCAUGUUGGCCAGGCUGGUCUCGAACUCCUGACCUCAGGUGAUCCACCCACCUUGGCCUCCCAAAGUGCUGGGAUUACAAGCGUGAGCCACCAUGCCCAGCGGGAUGCUUGUUAUUUUUUUUGAGACGGAGUCUCCCUCUCGCUCCCAGGCUGGAGUGCAGUGGCGAGAUCUCGGCUCACUGCAAGCUCCGCCUCCCGGGUUCAUGCCAUUCUCCUGCCUCAGCCUCCCGAGUAGCUGGGACUACAGGCACCCGCCACCACGCCCAGCUAAUUUUUUGUAUUUUUUAGUAGAGACAGGGUUUUACCAUGUUAGCCAGGAUGGUCUUGAUCUGCUGACCUUGUGAUCCACCCGCCUAGGCCUCCCAAAGUGCUGGGAUUACAGGUGUGAGGCACCGCGCCUGGCCCCCGGGAUGCUUAUUAAAGAAGUAUCUCCAACCUCAGAGAUAGUCAUUCUGGUCUGGAGUGGAGCCAUAUGAUCUAUAGAUCUUAUUUUGAGCAACAGCUUUAAACAACUCUUUUUCUUGAAAAGUUCUUCACUUUUCUUGAACUCCAUUGUUGGCUUAUUCAAUAGUAUGAACUUUCACUCCUUUCCUUCCUUACUACCUUUCCUGCAGCAUAAAUUUCUGACUCCCCCACCCUUCACAUACCCCCUGGGCUGUUCCUUGUGUCUUUUUCUUCCUCUCCAAGUAACCAGGCAAAAUCCUAUUCAAAUUCUAUCCAUCCUUCAAGGUUAUUCCAGAAUUCUCCCAGGCAGAAUUAAUCUCUCCUUUCUCUGGGCUCUCUCAGCAAUCCAGUCUGUACUUACCUUUAUUAGAGAACAUAAUCUUAGUUUGGAUAUGAGUGGUUCUCAUCUCAAAGUGUGGUUCCCAGAGCAGCAGCAUCACCAUAACCUAGGAACUUGUUAGAAACCAAAUUCUCAGGCCCCACCCCAAAACAACUCAAUAAAAAACUCUGGGGAUGGGACCCAGCAAUCUAUAUUUUAACAGUCUCUCCAAAUCUCCAAUUGGUAUGGUAUCUCCUUUGCUAGACUGUGUUUGUUGAGGGCACGGGGUAGGUUUACUUUUCUCUUUCUUUAGCAUCUAGUCUAGGCAGGCAGUUGCUAAGUGAUCAAUAGUGAAUGAAUGAUUGGAGAGCACCUUAGACGGCUUUAACAAUACUUUGCAGAUCAUACUUGUACAACACACCCUACAUUUCCACUGCAUACAUAUCCGUGGCUCUUGACCCUUCCAUUCUUGCAUAUCCUUGGAUCUGGGUGGACUGGCCUGCCUCUCCUCCCUUGUCCUGUCUCACCCUAAGUGAAGGACAGAGCUCUGUUCUCAGUAAUGACAGAUGAUAUCAGAGCUUAGCAGAUAUCUGACUGCAGGGAUGCUGAUGGAAUUGUUGGGUUGUCUCAGUUGAUACACACAUUUAGGUUUCAAGAACUUAGACAUGAAAGUCAUGGCUGCCGGCCUGUCUCCCUGCAGCCUUGUCCUUUGGCAGCUGAAAUUUCUGGCAGUUGUGUAGAAAAUACCUUCUCCUCCCCAAAGUGAGGGGAGGAAUGAGGGUGGUGGAUAAAGGAGAAAGAGAAACCAAAAUCUAGAAACAACAUGAUACAAUGAAGUGAAAAGAUAGACUGUGGGCUCUGGAUUCAGAAAACUUGACUCCAAAUCUCAGGUCUUCCAUCAUCAUGUAAACCAGGACAAAAUAUUUAACCUCUCUGCAGUUCAGUUUCCUCAGCUGUAAAGUGGGGAUAAUACUGUCCCACUUUGUAAGUAGUGAGAAUUUAAUUAGAAUGAGACAAAUGAAAAUGCUUCCUGUAAUGCUAGCACAAAGCCUUAAUACAAGUUUUGUUUUUGUGAUUUGAAAAAGGCAAUACUGGGGUGAUCGCUGGGCUACGCCAUAUGGCUAUACCAGUUACCACCCAAAGUGAUAUCCAGACAAGUGGAUUUAAAAGUGCCAAUCCUGGCUGGGUGUGGUGGCUCACGCCUAUAAUCCCAGCACUUUGGGAGGCUGAAGUGGGUGGAUCACCUGAGGUCAGGAGUUCGAGACUAGCCUGACAAAUGUGGUGAAACCCUCUCUAUUAAAAAUACAAACAUUAGCCAGGCGUGGUGGCAGGCGCCGGUACUCCCAGCUACUCAGAAGGCUAAGGAAGGAGAAUCGCUUGAACCCAGGAGGCGGAGGUUGCAGUGAGCUGAGAUCACGCCAUUGCACUCCAGCCUGGACAACAGAGCGAGACUCCAUCUCAAAAAAAAAAGGUCUCCAUUCCAAAAGCAGCAUGUGUGAUGACAUCUGUUGUGGGGAGGGACUACAGGCGUGGGCAGGAGGAGAUGGUCAUGCCAAGGGGACUUUUUAGUGAAUUUUUUCAGGCAAAAAACCCCUACUACCACCACCAAAGCUGAGAUGAUCCGUAACAGAGGACAGAGGAUACAGGCAGUUUUCAAAAAAAUAUUGAUCUGGAUCAGAUGGGCUGAUAAGGCCCAAACACUUAUAAACCAAAGCUGCAGAUCUCUAAGGUCUUCAGAGAAGCUACACAAAAUACUAUGAUUUCAUUAGCAUCCACAUAUGUAUCAUUUUCCACAACAUUUUACAAUUCUCUUGUUUCACAGGGAAGGUGAACUAAUUAUAAUGAAAUAUCAGUAAUGUAUCUUAAAUAAGUAACAUGUUGCUGGAAAAAAUUUAAGUUAAAAUGCACUACAUAAUAGUGCAGAAACAAAGUGCAGGUGGCAAUUUUAAGACAUGAAAACAAUGCUGAAUCAGUAGUGUUUGGAGUGAUACAUUUUGCCCAUUUUUGGCCAGUCCUAGAACAGUACUCACCACAAGCUGCAUGCCAAAUAUGAACUAACGAGGCUAAAACACUGAAGACCAAAUAGAACCACUCUAGAGUCUGUUUCACAAUGAGAUACUCCUCCCCGUUCUGGAAACAGCGAUCUGCUGUAGUUCCUAUCCUCCUGUGGCACCUAUCCCUGCUACAGUACCUAUAACCAGAUGUCCUCCAUCAUCCAGCCUCCAGGACAAGUGGUGCUCAGUGAGUCACAACCUGAGGAACAGCUGCUGGUUACCGAUUUGUAUUCCUGUAUAUACUCGACUUGGGUAGCCAGGAUUUUCUCGUUUGUCUUGAAUAUAUUUACUUCUAAAAAGACUGUUAGUCUUGUUGGGAGGUGAGCAGAGGAAUGUUUACUUGCUGGAGAACAUAGUAACAAACAUCACUUCUCACCCCUCAUAAACAGAAAGCCCAUUGUCUGUGCCAUGAAAAGAGGACUACCUUGUCAGGAAGAUUUUACUUACCUCUACAAGAAAAAGGACUCGUAUUAAAAUCGACCUGUGGUUACCACCCUUA